GGCAACUGACGUCGCCUCCCACCUCCGCAGGCGCGGCGAGCCCCGCCGCCAAGGACAAAAGAGCGGCAGCGGCAGGAACUUUGAUCCGGUUGCGUAGUGCCCUGAUCUGGAACCGACCGCUCUCGUUGGAGACUCCAGUACACGAGAUCGAGCCAGGAGACCAGGUCUACGUUCGUGAUUGGAGCGAGGAACCACUUAAGGAACGGUGGAAUGGACCGUACCUGGUGCUGCUAACUACCUUCACCGCUGUAAAAGUGGAAGGAAUUGACUCCUGGAUUCACUACACUAGAGUGAAGAAAGUCCCGAAACAUUGUCGAAUCAGAAGCCUUAGGACCUACGAAACUGAGGCUGAAAUGCAGAUAAGAUGUCGUGUUAUAUGUAUAGCACUUUAAUUGUGAUUUGGUCAGUCUUACCUAUAAUAAUUGUUGGUUCCUUAGAAGAAAAGGGAGGUGGUGACGUAUGUUGUUGGACAAAAUGCCACUCUGUCUUGCAGGUUUACCAUGCCAAUGGGAGGAGAACUAAUAAGGGUUAUCUGGGAAAAGGAAUCGGAAAAUUUUGAAGCACCUGAGAUAAUUUUUGACAGCAAGGACAAAGGAUUAGUAGGGCAUGAGCAGGAGUUGCAGGAAAAUUGGCAAUCUAGAAGUAAAGUAAUGAACAGGUUCUGUUCACGAAAUCUUACUGAAGGAGAGACUAAAUUAAGGAUAGCCAAUCUGACUGAACAAAUGCGGGGAAAAUAUCGUUGUCUGGUCAAGACAAACAAUAGUGCAGACUACGGUGAGAAGAUAAUAUACAUUACUAAAACUAGAGUCAGACGAGCUAUAAAACCGACCGAAUCACCCCAGAUAAUUCAAGUACCCCAACGUGAUCCGGAGGAAAACCUAAUGAUAGGAUUAAUCAAGGAUUUCGCAAAAAUGCAAAAUACGAGUAGAAUAACGGCAUGCCUCCCAAUACCAAAAGCAGCUGGAGAACCAAUUGAGUGGGGAAUAAUAACAAUACCAUUCCCAGAAGGAAACGAGACAGUUAAGUGUCAGGAAAA
rnacentral:lncRNA from 1 species